rnacentral:lncRNA from 1 species
GGAGGCGCAUAUAUUACUUGAGAACAAUAAAUAUUUGCAAAUAGUUUGAUUAGUUAAGUUACUGUAAUUGUUUUUAUCCUAAAAGCCCAAACCAAGGUAUUGCUUGAACUUUUUCAUCAUCAUAUUUCCCGGUAUAUCUGGGCUUUGUAUUGGUUUUUGAGUUGUUAUGCUCCCUAUUUCAUUUUCAGUAACUACGUCAAUGGACCAUCAUUUUUUCCGUGCUCGAAGCAACACAAUUUCCUUGCUAAUUAUCAUUAUCUCGAUGAAUGCAUAGUCCAUUAACAUCAUGAAACUAAACCUCCCCUCCUUAAUAUUCCAAUUUACUUUUUUGGCCCCUGACAGAUCUAGACAUCCCCA